GAUGCCUGUCCUGUAGCAGCACGAUGAGAAGCCUUUUGUGCGUCCGGUGGACGUUACAGCCACGCCAGCUCGUUACUUUGAAAGGCCAACAAGAUCGGCGCGAUCCAACUCCGUUAGCCGCGGCCUCGCGUCGUCUCGUAGUCUUUAUAAAGCGAUCUCUGGCUCGCACUCCAUCUUCAAGCGCAUCACUCCACUGCUCCAUCCACCCGUCUCUGUUCGCUCUCCUAGCUUGUUCGGCGUUGCUGAGAAUAAUUGAAUCGUUGCACUUGCAGGAGGGACUACAACAACUUGUCCAUGAACUGCACACCGUGGGAGGAUCCACUAAGCGUGUCCGCGCACUGUUGUUGCUGCUGUGCUUUGCUGUUGGUGGGCAAUGUGAUCAUCCUGGAUGCUACAGGAGUAGCACUUUCCCACCGUGCAACCCCGACAAAAACAGGUGUUACUGCUGUUUGUAUAACUGGACUUGUUACAAGUCGUUUGCGGAAUGCGGACCUGCUUGCCAUCCUCCCCCCUCUUCCUCCUUUGUAGAUCCAUAGAACUAGAUUCUUGUAGCCAAUUGGAAAGAUGGAUGAAUAAGACAAUAAAUUGUUAAGCAAAUUGUGUUCAUGUGCUAUGUA